rnacentral:rRNA from 1 species
AACCUGCGGAAGGAUCAUUGU